rnacentral:tRNA from 1 species
GGGGGUAUAGCUCGGUGGUAGAGCAUUUGACUGCAGAUCAAGAGGUCCCUGGUUCAAAUCCAGGUGCCCCCU